rnacentral:rRNA from 1 species
AGAACGAACGCUGGCGGCAUGCCUAACACAUGCAAGUCGAACGCUUCACCGGUUUCGGCCGGUGGGGAGUGGCGCACGGGUGAGUAGCGCGUGGGAACCUGCCCUGUUGUGGGGGAUAACCGAGGGAAACUUCGGCUAAUACCGCAUAAGCCGGUUGUCUUGAGAGAGAUGGCCGGGAAAGAUUUAUCGCGACAGGAGGGGCCCGCGUCGGAUUAGGUAGUUGGUGGGGUAACGGCCCACCAAGCCUUUGAUCCGUAGCUGGUCUGAGAGGAUGAUCAGCCACACUGGGACUGAGACACGGCCCAGACUCCUACGGGAGGCAGCAGUGGGGAAUAUUGGACAAUGGGCGCAAGCCUGAUCCAGCAAUGCCGCGUGAGUGAUGAAGGCCUUAGGGUUGUAAAGCUCUUUCGCCCGCGACGAUGAUGACGGUAGCGGGAGAAGAAGCCCCGGCUAACUUCGUGCCAGCAGCCGC